UGGUUUUGUGAAGCAUAGUGUGCUGUGGGUAUAUAAAAGGAAAUCGGAGUGCGGUGGAAAUUUAGUUGGUUAAGGGAAGUUGUGAGAAGUUUGUUGUGUGGAUUGUGUUGUAAGCUCUUAUUUGAUAGUAAAGGUUGUUGUAGUAAGGUGGAGAGUGAUUUGGAGUGCCUGGGAACAGGUGUUUGAAGGGAUUUUGGCAGAUUUGUAACAAAUGAAAUUCCAGGAAGUGCUAUGGAUAUUGUUGUCACCGACGACAAUACAACCGUAUUGCAGCCUGAAUCCAGCAAACGAUCUGCUGGAACUCCGAAGAAACGAAAUAAAUGAAUGGAAUAGCAUGAACCGUUGGUUUUACUUUGAGAUGGACCAAUCGUUUUCAUUUUUGUUGUUAUUUGAGUGAUUCAUCAAUUUAUUAGCGCCAUUGUACCAUUUUAUCUAAGUGCAUUAAAGUUAUCUGUGGUAUUAUUAUCUGAUAGUGGUGGUGCGGUAUUAUUAUCUAUGUGAUGUAAUUAUGUUGUAUUACUCGUUUAAUACUUGUAAAGUUUGUAUCUUAGUAUUUUUCUUAUACUGAACUACACUUUUAUUUUGUUAUUUUGUAUUGGUUUUGUAGUACAGUAAU